CAAGAUGUGAANUCCCCGAGCUUAACUUGGGAACUGCGUUUUGAACUGGUAAGCUAGAGUAUNUCAGAGGGGGGUAGAAUUCCACGUGUAGCAGUGAAAUGCGUAGAGAUGUGGAGGAAUACCGAUGGCGAAGGCAGCCCCCUGGGAUAAUACUGACGCUCAUGCUCGAAAGCGUGGGUAGCAAACAGGAUUAGAUACCCUGGUAGUNCACGCCCUAAACGAUGUCAAUUAGCUGUUGGGCAACAUGAUUGCUUAGUAGCGUAGCUAACGCGUGAAAUUGACCGCCUGGGGAGUACGGUCGCAAGAUUAAAACUCAAAGGAAUUGACGGGGACCCGCACAAGCGGUGGAUGAUGUGGAUUAAUUCGGUGCAACGCGAAGAACCUUACCUGGUCUUGACAUGUACGGAAUCUUCCAGAGACGGAAGAGUGCCUUCGGGAGCCGUAACACAGGUGCUGCAUGGCUGUCGUCAGCUCGUGUCGUGAGAUGUUGGGUUAAGUCCCGCAACGAGCGCAACCCUUGUCAUUAGUUGCCACCAUUCAGUUGGGCACUCUAAUGAGACUGCCGGUGACAAACCGGAGGAAGGUGGGGAUGACGUCAAGUCCUCAUGGCCCUUAUGACCAGGGUUUCACACGUCAUACAAUGGUCGGUACAGAGGGUAGCCAAGCCGCGAGGUGGAGCCAAUCUCAGAAAACCGAUCGUAGUCCGGAUUGCACUCUGCAACUCGAGUGCAUGAAGUCGGAAUCGCUAGUAAUCGCAGGUCAGCAUACUGCGGUGAAUACGUUCCCGGGUCUUGUACACACCGCCCGUCACACCAUGGGAGUGGGGGAUACCAGAAGUAGGUAGGCUAACCGCAAGGAGGCCGCUUA
rnacentral:rRNA from 1 species